rnacentral:lncRNA from 1 species
CUCUCUACCCAAGGGUAGGGGUAAGGUCUGCGUACACACUACCCUCCUCAGACCCCACUAAGUGGGAUUAUACUGGGUUGUUGUUGUUGUUGUUUAUGCUGGCAUGAAGAUUGUUAGGGAAAAUUGGAAAAUCUACAGGCUAGAACUUCACUUGUACCAUGUUUAUUAUGUAUUUUUAUCGGAAAAAAUUCUCAGGCUUAUGGAAGGUUCCAUAACUCACUCCUGUCCAGUUUAAGAAAUUUGAGUAGGUCAAUGUUGGAGUUAGCCAACCAAGAAUAUAGUUCAUUUUUGCAGUCUUCAUCUGAUGACAUAAGUUCCCUUCCCGGUGACAUGUAUUUCAUUUAUACAAGCUAUAUUUAGUUAAUGAGAAUCAUGACAUUGACUUCAACAUUUUAGUCAGUUCAUAUGUGUUUCAUACACACUCACUAAGAAAUGCUUUAAUAAAAGAGUAUUGAGCAAGAAGAUGGCAGUUGAGGAGAGCAAAUAAGAGGGUCUACCACCAAUUAACAGUUUGUUCAGCUGGAGGCAACCAUUUAUACAUGGAAAUACUAAUAUUAAAAGAUGUUCUCACAAUAGGAAAAUCAAAAUGAUAAUGACAAUUUGAAGAAGAUCAGCGCAUGUAACAACAGGAAAUAUCCAACUUAAAUUACCUGAUAGAAUGUGAUUGGAAUUCUUGAGGUUAUUCCUGGACAAGUCAAGGCUUUCAAGGUAUGGAAGAUCAUUGAAUAGGCAAUGUGGCAUACUAUCAUCUAUAAGAUUAUUGUCGCUUAGAUCCAAUCUCCGGAUAUUCUUUAGUCCACACAUUGAUACAUGAAUUCAUUAAAAUGUGUUACAACUGCUUAGAUCUAAUCUCCGGAUAUUCUUUAGUCCACACAUUGAUACAUGUAUUCAUUAAAAUGUGUUACAACGAAACCAAGGUAAAAACUUUGAUGCAACAUCUACAAUUGAUUAAGAAUCUAUCACUGAGAAAAAACAAACCUCUGAGAAGUGGUAAAGAGGAACUAGGAAAAACCCCUGAAAGGUACAGCUAUUCUAGAGAUGCGAGGCUACAUACUUGAAAAUGAGGCAGAGCAUUACCAUUUAAAGGGUUGAAACUUAGAUCCAACUCCUUCAGGUUGUGCAAUUUGCAUAAUGCUGCAAGUUUAAGUUGUUAAAAAGUAAUACUCCAACAUGCGAAGAAGUGAAGGAGAUAAGGGUCAUGGGUGCAGAAUCUUUUAAAAAACAACAAAUCUUAGAGUUCUAAGGAUUCAAGGGGAAGUGCUCAUUAUGUUAAGCAAAUAUUAACAGCAGUAAGCGUUUGUACAAAUUAUACUACUACAUACUGAGGGAGAUAAGCUGUAGCAUCAUGUAGGUUUGAUCAAAUGAAACAUGAAUACAGGUAAUGAAAGCACUUUUUGGUCAAAUGAAUACCUUCUGGCAUGAUCCAGUUGCCAAUAGCAUUGCCAGAUACAUACAGAGACUGAAGAUGCGUGAAACGAGACAACAAGGUUGCAUCAGGAUGCCAUAUUCCAAGUCCAAGUUGUCUUUUAUUGGUAAGAAAAAUAUCAAGAACACGCGAAUCAUUGUUCGGAUCACUGCCACAAAAUACCAGCCCAUGCACAAUAGUCUUCUCCAACCCAUU